UACGUAGGGUGCGAGCGUUAAUCGGAAUUACUGGGCGUAAAGCGUGCGUAGGCGGUUUUGUAAGCCAGAUGUGAAAUCCCCGGGCUUAACCUGGGAAUGGCAUUUGGGACUGCAAGGCUGGAGUUUGGCAGAGGAGACUGGAAUUCCUGGUGUAGCAGUGAAAUGCGUAGAUAUCAGGAGGAAUACCGAUGGCGAAGGCAGGUCUCUGGGCUGAAACUGACGCUCAUGCACGAAAGCGUGGGGAGCAAACAGG
rnacentral:rRNA from 1 species